AACCUGCGGAGGGAUCAUUACACAAUAAAAUACGAAGGCCGUUCGCGGCUGGACUAUUUAUUACCCUUGUCUUUUGCGCACUUGUUGUUUCCUGGGCGGGUUCGCUCGCCACCAGGACCACAAUAUAAACCUUUUUUAUGCAGUUGCAAUCAGCGUCAGUAUAACAAAUGUAAAUCAUUUACAACUUUCAACAACGGAUCUCUUGGUUCUGGCAUCGAUGAAGAACGCAGCGAAAUGCGAUACGUAGUGUGAAUUGCAGAAUUCAGUGAAUCAUCGAAUCUUUGAACGCACAUUGCGCCCUUUGGUAUUCCAAAGGGCAUGCCUGUUCGAGCGUCAUUUGUACCCUCAAGCUUUGCUUGGUGUUGGGCGUUUUUGUCUUUGGCCCGCCAAAGACUCGCCUUAAAAUGAUUGGCAGCCGGCCUACUGGUUUCGCAGCGCAGCACAUUUUUGCGCUUGCAAUCAGCAAAAGAGGACGGCAAUCCAUCAAGACUCCUUCUCACGUUUGACCUCGGAUCAGGUAGGGAUACCCGCUGAACUUAAGCAUAUCAA
rnacentral:rRNA from 1 species